rnacentral:rRNA from 1 species
GACAUGCAGAGAACUUUCAGAGAUGGAUGGUGCCUUCGGGAACUCUGACACAGGUGCUGCAUGGCUGUCGUCAGCUCGUGUCGUGAGAUGUUGGGUUAAGUCCCGUAACGAGCGCAACCCUUGUCCUUAGUUACCAGCACGUUAUGGUGGGCACUCUAAGGAGACUGCCGGUGACAAACCGGAGGAAGGUGGGGAUGACGUCAAGCCAUCAUGGCCCUUACGGCCUGGGCUACACACGUGCUACAAUGGUCGGUACAAAGGGUUGCCAAGCCGCGAGGUGGAGCUAAUCCCAUAAAACCGAUCGUAGUCCGGAUCGCAGUCUGCAACUCGACUGCGUGAAGUCGGAAUCGCUAGUAAUCGUGAAUCAGAAUGUCACGGUGAAUGCGUUCCCGGGCCUU